AAGUAGAUACCACAAGGGAUACUGCAAGCUAAAAAAUAUGAGUACAUUUAUGCAAAAAUAAUGAAGUCACUCCUUCUUCAAGAAUGAAAGAUCUCCCACAAUUGUCUCCCAGUUCAGCCAAUUAUCACCUUAACAACCCACCUUUCACAUUAAGGUGUCAUUAUAAGAGAGAGUCAGAGGAAGACUUCACUACAAUAAAUAAAUAAAUAAGAUGUGAUGCUGGAACCAAAGGUUGAUAUGACAUGCUUUGAAGGUAGUGGAAGAACACCUGGGCCAAGAAAUGCAGGUGGUCUUUUGAGGCUGGAAAGACAAGGAAAUAGAUUCUUCCCUGAACUCUCCAGAAGGAAUGCAAACCUACCAACGUCAUAAUUUUUGACUUACAAACCCCGGAAAUGAAAAAGAAUCAAUUUAUGUUGUUUGGAGUAAGCUAUGUGAUAGGCAACCUUGAAAUGGCCCCAGAUAAUCCCUGCCUCCAGACUAACAAAAUGAUAUUUGUGUCCAGAACCAGUUAAAGAGCUGUGGCAGUUCUAAGAACUUCCACCAAGAUAAAGCAUAUUCUGAAAGCUGGUUGCCAGAGAAACCAAUCAGCGAUAAAAGAAUUGGGACUUUCAGCUUCACCUUCUCUACCUCUGGGGAGGAAAGAAAGGGCAGAUAUUGAGCUCAAUCUCCAGUGGCUACUGGUUUAAUCAAUAAUGCUUACAUACUGAAGCUUCCUUAAAAACCCUAAAUGAAGGAGUUCAGAAAACCCCAGGUUCACCACAAUGAUGAAGACAUUCAUGUGCCUAGAGAGUAGCCCACCCUAACUCAGUGGGGCAGAAACUCCUGUGGUCAGAACCCUUCU
rnacentral:lncRNA from 1 species